GUUUCCCAAAUCCCCACUCCAAUUCCUUCCGAGCAAGCACGCCGCAGGAAUUUGCACCAAUGGUGAUCCAUCACUCUGACCCCAUGUCCAUUUGCCGCGAUUGUGCUCAAGUGGCAGUCUCCCCGACGCAAAUUGCUGGGCGUAAGAUGUGCGCCUCUGUUGGUAGAGAGCGCCGCCAACCGGCUCGCUGGAAUGCCUCGCCGAAUGGUCAUGGCUCGUAAGGGAUUUUGGGGCAAGGAGGCCUGGCUGCUACGUCCGUUGCUACUUUGCACGCAGCAAUGGAACAAGCUACGGCCUUUUGGCAUCGCACUGGGAAUUCGCUGCUUCUACUACUUCAAACACAUGGGAAUGCCCUCCUCUAGGUGUGGACAAGCCAAGCCCAUGACCCGAACAGAUCGCAUGCUUUUAGCAGAAGCAAGGGUUUGGUGGUCUGUUCGAACAUGUUGUACUUUCUCCUUUACCUUUUCCUUUUGUUGAACUUCUUUCUGUAUGCGCACCAGCUAUUAUUUUUCAGUUGUGGAGUUAAGGUGGUACAGCUCCCAGUAUAAACUACUCUUUUAGACUGAAAUAGCAUCACUGCAAAUGAACUGUCGGAAGGAUAGAUUGUCGUGAUAUACUCUAACAUAAACUUCAAGAGGAAUAGAGGAAAAAAUAAUUCUUGAUCCAUUCGUAGAACUUGAAACAAUUAUGAAGUUGUCCUCGUUUUAGUAAUUCAUGAGUAGCAGUAUUUGUUAUAGUGGGAAUACAAAGCAUAUGUUGGUAGAGUAAUAAUUAGAAUCCAGGGUAACUUUGCUAAUAGUAAUAACUGACCUUUCCCAUGGAAUUUGCAAAUGUUCUUGUAUCAAUUACCCUAUAUGGAUACAAAUGAUUGAUAUUGUGUGCCUUAUGACCAGAUUACCAAUUCACCAUACGCACUAGGGAGCAAUGAAGUGUCGUGCUGCAAUUUACUUGUUUUUGGUAGAUUAGAUGACAAAUCUGUGGUCACUAACGCAAACAAUGUUCCUUGACAGCUCAUAUCAAAGAACAGAAGGAAAAGGACUUGCGUUUGGUCUGAUGCAAUCUUUGGUAAAAGUUGGUUUGUUCUGUACUUGUAUGUCUUUACUAGCAUAUGCUUUGCAAGUAACUAUGACAAAAGAAGAAAUAACCGUGCCAUUUGAAUCAACUGUGUUCUUACUUUAAUCAGUGCAUCAUCAUUACUGUGAUCGGAUCAACAUGUUAUCUGCUUUAAGAUCAUAAUGUUUUUCAUGUGGCAGCUCCUUCCAUGUUGCAUUACCUAUUGCUUAACAGAGAAGUAAAUUUAAGUUUGUUACUUGUGGUGCCUUUUUUUGAUCUAGGAUUUCUAGACCUAGUUUUGUUCCAUAACUAGCAUGAUAUGAUUGCUCUUUUUCCAAAUGGGAUCCUAAUUUUUUUUAAGCCAACUUGCUGUCCUAGAUGAAAGCCUUUCAAUUAUUAGUUCAUUGGCCCUUUUGUAAGAGCUGAAUGCAGAAAUCUGUUAGCUUUCAAAAUAAAAUAGUUGAACGAGCACUUUAGGAAUCUCUUCAAAGAGAAGGCCAUAUCAUGGAAAUUCAUUCCUUCAUCCACCUUUAAAUUUCCUCCUUUUCUUUUGCAGCAAGGAUGAUCUUGUGGGCUCCCUUGACCACUUCACAUGCAGGGAUCUUAGCAUAGCCUUGCAUCACUUUAUAAUUAUUUCUCUUCUUGUUUUCUGCACCUAAGUGCUCAACACUAACAAAACAGUAUAUUUGCAGUUAAGGUGGCUCAAUCUUUACUUUAAAAGAGGUUAGUUACUGUUUUCAUCUUUCUACUUUGGCACUGAUAAAAUGCUAUCCUUGGACCAUGACCAGUCCAUAUAUGCACAGCUUGAAACCGUUGGAUCCCCCAAAACUACUGCUGAUGCUUUAAGAUUCCCCAAUCUUUGCAUUCUGCAGUAAAGGAAGCAGGUAAAGCAUUGGAUGUUGUUAGCCUACAUGGAAAAAUGUGAGGAAAGAGGCUAUUGAAACUUGGUACAGAUCCUUUAAGUUUGAAUGGCUAGCUUUGGUGGCCUUGGAAGAUUCAAAGCGAAAAGCGUGCUCCUUGCAAGAAGGGCAAGCACAAGAAAUGAAAAGCAUGCAAAAGCACAAAGCCUUGCAUUGUACUGUUGUCUGCUGGUUACCACAACCUGGGAUGUUUUCACCUCUAUCUAUGAGCGGUUCAAUUUUGGUUUUUACUGGAGACUGGAAUAGAGGAGGAUGGCAACAAGUGUCUAAAGCAGGGGUUUGGUUCUUGCUGUUGCUCUUAUCCCCUACAUGGCCACUUUAGGUUUGUCUCUUGGGAUAGACGAUGAGCUCUCCCAUCCAAUGACUUUGCCAAAAUCUGCCUGUCAGGGUCUCAGAACCUUCCAUAAGCAGCCUUAGACAUGCCUCCCUUGUCCCUUUGUGCUUUGGGACCCGGCGUGGCCUUGGGCUAUAUUAGGGCUGUGCCGGCAUAAAUCGGAGCUCUGUGCGAAAAUCUAAAGUGGGGCCUACUAGACAGGCCAAAUAUUACUAUCAAGUGCAGGGUUCUGAUCAAGUAUCUGAUUAUUAGAGGACACUUGCGAUUCUUUUACAAUAAAUCUAUCCAUAGCUCCUUUUUUAUAUUGAGUUAAAUCGU